rnacentral:lncRNA from 1 species
AUGAGAGCUGAACUUUCCAACAGGUCUUUCUUCUUUCUCCUAGAGACCGCCCGCUGUUCCAGAGAAGAUUUGGAGAUUAUUCCAAGCACGGGGGAUGUGGAAUUGGGCAAGAAGUCAUAUUUUCUCUGCAAAGUGAGAAAUGGUGGGGAAGCUACAUUGACGUGGCUUGACCCCAAUGACAAUGAAAUUGAUGCUGAUUCAGAGCCCUACAACGAGAAAGCUGUUGAUGAACUGUCCAAGGGGCUGGAGAUGACCCUCUGUGACCCAAAUCUGGGAGGAAUCUUCACAUGCGCAGGGCAAUUUGAUCAAUCUGGAGCUACUGCUAGAGCCCAGAUUAGAAUCCGUGUGAUCGAGUGACCCACAUUUGUGACCCAAAUGGAGCCUGUGAAGGAAGUUCUUGUGGGCACCCAGGUGGAUUUCAACUGCCAGGCUAAAGGCAUCCCACCACCAAUGGUUAGGUGGAUCUUUCAGAAUCAAGCUCUCAGUAAUACUGGCGAUGGAAAGUAGAUGAUUUUUAUAUAGAGGGACUGAUAAACGAGGAGUGGGCAGUGAGACCAGAGUCUUCUGACGCCAUCUGCACUGGACCACCUCUAAACCUUCCAUGGACUUCAUUGCUAGAAAAGUUUUAGUGGUGAUUGGUUUUGCAGUUAUAAACACAACA